rnacentral:rRNA from 1 species
UAGAGUGGCGCACGGGUGAGUAAUAAUUAGAUAAUGCGCCUCCUUGCUGGGGAUAACCAGGGGAAACCUUGGCUAAUACCGAAUAGUCCGGUUCUUACUUCGGUUUGAAUCGGUAAAGCCUUCGGGCGCGAGGAGAGUGGUCUAAUUCCCAUUAGCUUGUUGGUAGGGUAAUGGCCUACCAAGGCGACGAUGGGUAGCUGGUCUGAGAGGACGAUCAGCCACACUGGAACUGGAACACGGUCCAGACUCC